GAGCCAGGUGCUUUUCCUGGUCUCCCAUGGGGUGCAGGGCCCAAGCACCUGGGCCAUCCUCCACUGCACUCCCUGGCCACAGCAGAGGGCUGGCCUGGAAGAGGGGCAACCGGGACAGAAUCCGGCGCCCCGACCGGGACUAGAACCCGGUGUGCCGGCGCCGCUAGGUGGAGGAUUAGCCUAGUGAGCCGCGGCGCCGGCCUUGAUCUCAUCUUUUAAAACCGCCCCCUCUGUGUUCUCAGAGCUCCCCCCACGCUGGGGUCCUCAGCACCCAGGUUCUCGGCCUGGGACGCCUCCCACAUCUCCAAUGGCAGCGUCUUCAGGUCUCGCAGCUCACCCACCCUUUACACAUCUCUGUUCUUUCCCUUUAUUUCUCCUCCAGAUCACACCACCUCACUCUUUCCAAAAUCCUUCACCUGUGGCCAACUGCUAGGUUUCCCUUUUUCUUUUCUUAUUUUUAAAUUUAUUUUAUUUGAAAGACAUCACAGAGACAGAGGGAGACUGACAGAGGUCUCCCAUUCUAGUUCACUCCCAAAACUCCCACAACACCCGGGGCUGGGCCAAGCCAAAUCCAGGAGCUCAGAAAUCAGUUUGGGUCUCUCAUGUGGGUGGCAGGGACCCAAGUACUUGGGCCAUCACCAUUAGCAAGAAGCUGGAAUCUGGAGUGUCGCCGGGACUUGAACCCGGUCACUGUGAUAUGGGAUGUGGGCGUUCCAAGUGGUGGCUUAACGACCAUGCCAGAUGCCAGCCCCUCUGAGCUCACCGUAACUCAUCUCCCCAGGGAGGCCUUUCCUGCCACCAGCUCGCUCCGUCACACGUCACAUGUCCGUCUUACCGACAACUCGGCACUUAGCGCUGUCUCCGUCCUUUGGUCGCAACCUGCCUCUCCUCUCGGUCCCGAGCUCCGGGAGUGCAGACCCCUGCCUGUCUCCCACCUGCCCUGUGUCUACCGUGGCGUCUCCAUCAAUCCUGCUUGAAUAAGUGAGUGAAGAGUUGAACUGCCCUUCCUUUUGCUUCGUUCCCGUCCGCCAGGCCAGCUGCCUGACAGGAGUCCAUGAGCCUGGUCAUCGUCACCAUCAUCACGACCUGCCAUUCAGACUGCCAGGCUGCACCAGCCGCAGAUGGGAACCCGGCCGUCCCCUUGAUCCUCACAAAAGCGGAACCCGUGAGAUUAGCGCUGGCAUUGCCCAGCUGGAGUCCCUCCAGGAAGAGAAGCCUCGCCUCCUACCUGCUGAUCCUCUGAAGUGCAGAGCACAAGGCCAGGAGAAUAACUUCUUCUUUCUCGUCCUCAGUCCCAGUCUUCGAAACACUGAGUGUCUCUCCAGCAUCAGCAACGGUGACCAUUUUUUAAAAUCAUUUUUAGAACCAUUGUGAACUCAUGCAUUUAAACAUUUGAUGUAUUUUAGUCUAUUACAGUUCUUAUUGAUAUUCAAAUUAUCCUCUUUGACCUCUGGAAAUCUGUUCAACAUGGCUCCUGAGUCCCUGCACACAUCCAA